UGGUGGAGUGAUUUGUCUGGUUAAUUCCGUUAACGAACGAGACCUCCGCCUGCUAAAUAGCUAGAUGAAUCCUUGAUUCAUUUUAGCUUCUUAGAGGGACUGUGGAUGUUUAGUCCACGGAAGUUGGAGGCAAUAACA
rnacentral:rRNA from 1 species